ensembl:lncRNA
AAAAAAACCCAUGUCUCCCCUCCACCCCCAAGGAUAAACUCCUUAGAAAAAUCCCUCCGGCUUCGUUCAAGCUCCCAGCACUCCUAACCCCGAUAGGGACUCCCCUCUAUCCCCCAAACCUUGUGUUAUAACAGGGAAACCGAUGAAAAAACCUUAGGACCCCUCUUCUCACAUCCGGCGCACAGCCUAAACUGUCCGUCUUACUCACUCCAUCUCAGUUCCCGAAUGAUUCUUGCCUAUUUUCGAAACUUUGCACCCCGAGACCAACUCUGCCUCCUAGGUGUGCCUAACUUUGCCGGCUGCCAAUCACAUAUCAAAUGGGCGGCUCCCACGGCACCCCGGAUAGCCAAUCGGCUACAGGUCCGAUUUACCUUCUCUGCCAUAGGUUCACUGGCUGGCUGUCACUCAGGAUAAAUAAUCUAACAUUUAGGCUUAAAUUUAACUCUUUUUUUUUUUUUUUUUUUUCCCAAAAAAGAAAAAAAGACCUUUGUCUCUUUUCUUAAACAACAUGGAUGCCAUACCUGCCAACCUGACCCUGCUCGCCCAGACCCCUGUAACCAGCUACACAGGUUCCGCGACGCCAGUGCAAGUCACACGAAUGCAUCUUUGCAGGGUCCAGCCAGAAUCCGCUAAACCCUUGGAAGAGAGAUUCCGUCUCAGAUGGUAAAUGGCCUGUAUUUAUAUAGCGCUUUUCUAGUCCCUAAGGACCCCAAAGCGCUUUACAUAUCCAGUCAUCCACCCAUUCACACACACAUUCACACACUGGUGAUGGCAAGCUACGUUGUAGCCACAGCCACCCUGGGGCGCACUGACAGAGGCGAGGCUGCCGGACACUGGCGCCACCGGGCCCUCUGACCACCACCAGUAGGCAACGGGUGAAGUGUCUUGCCCAAGGACACAAUGACCGAGACUGUCCAAGCCGGGGCUCGAACCUGCAACCUUCCGAUUACAAGGCGAACUCCCAACUCUUGAGCCACGAUCGUCUCAGCUCCGGUGCAUUUUGGGGCUACGCCUUCAGCCUCAGAGAGCGCGAGCUCUAUUUCUACAAACUAAAAGCCGGUGAAGGUUUUCGCCCUCUAACACCUCGGAUUGCCUUUACAUCGUCUGACUGGGCUGUUUUGAGCCUCAUUGCGACACCCGAAGUGCAGAAGAGCCAGCGAGAGACAAGCUGGAACUCGCAGACGUAUCCGUCCUUCAAACAAGAAGAGCAGCAACGGCUUUUAAACUUGGUGGGGAAAAAAAUUGUUACAUACAGCCAGUGGGAGACACGGAGCACGCCAUUCUGUCGCUGGUCGCGACCCGGCCGGUAACCCAGGACAUUCUCACAGAUGAAUUUGUUUUGGACCUUUCCAACAGCCAGUCUUGUUUUCAACACCAUGCUCCGGAUUCUCUCGCAUGACUGGCUGAAGAAGCCCGAGAAGGGUGGAAAAAUCUUAGAACUUUUUAAGUUGGAGCUGGUUAUCGUCGGAAAAAUGCUGAGACGCUCUACUUAGCACCACCCCUGAUCCGGCCCCUUACCCCGCUUCCUCCUCCGCCAGUCCUUUUUAAAAUCUCAACGCUCAGUUUCUUCUCCACACCAACCCCGACAAUGCUCACACAGGAUAGUUUCAGAGCCCCUGCCGCUGCGGCUCAAGCAUUCUUCGAGCCUUCCGCUGAUUCUACCCCACCUCCAAGCCCUCCAGCACAUUUGGCUCAAGUCAGAGGCGUUGCUCAGGUCUAUGUCUUUGAGCUCAGAGAUUAUUCAUGAGACAUAGAGCACUCGGCAAGAAAUCGACACCAGCGUCAUGGAGGUUACCAGGACAAUAAUCCACAAAGUCACACAAUUUGCGGCCCCACUAGUAAUCAGUAUUUCUUCUCUUUCCUCUUACUUUUCUUUUCUUUUUUUCUUUUUUUUUUUUAAUUUUAGAAAAAUAUUUUUUUUUGCUUUGUUUGCAUCAAAUAAAACAUGUUUUAUUUGACGCAAAAUCAAUGUCAUCAUUUCUUUGACCUCAAUGAAAAUGUAUUGUUUUCAUUAUAUCAAAUAAAACUUUCUUGGAAAAGCAAGAACCAAUCUCAUUAUUUGUUUUACCACGUUCAC